CCAAGCAAUGGGGUGACGCAGGAAGGUAACCCAACCCAGGCGAUGGUUGACCUGGGGUAAGGAUGUAGGGCGAGAUGUAGGCAAAUCCGCAUCUCACGUGCCUGAGAUCUGACGCCGAGCCGAUUCAGGUGAAGUGGGUAAUCCUAUGCUGCCGAGAAAAGCCUCUAGCGAGUGUUAAAGCCGCCCGUACCCCAAACCGACACAGGUGGUCAGGUAGAGAAUACUAAGGCGAUCGAGAUAACUAUGGUUAAGGAACUCGGCAAAAUGCCCCCGUAACUUCGGGAGAAGGGGGGCCCGUUCUGGUGAGGAGAUUUACUCUCCGAGCUGGGAUUGGCCGCAGAGACCAGGCCCAAGCGACUGUUUACUAAAAACACAGGUCCAUGCUAAGUCGCAAGACGCUGUAUAUGGACUGACGCCUGCCCGGUGCUGGAACGUUAAGGGGACGGGUUAGUGACUUCGGUCGCGAAGCUCAGAACUUAAGCGCCAGUAAACGGCGGUGGUAACUAUAACCAUCCUAAGGUAGCGAAAUUCCUUCUCGGGUAAGUUCCGACCUGCACGAAUGGCGUAACGACUUGGGCGCUGUCUCAACCGUAGACUCGGCGAAAUUGCACUACGAGUAAAGAUGCUCGUUACGCGCGGCAGGACGGUAAGACCCCGGGACCUUUACUACAGCUUGGUAUUGGUGGUCGAUUCGAUUUGUGUAGGAUAGGUGGGAGACUGUGAACUUCGGACGCCAGUUCGAAGGGAGUCAUCGUUGAAAUACCACUCUGAUCGUAUUGGCUGUCUAACCUAGAUCCGUAAUCCGGAUCAGGGACAGUGCCUGGUGGGUAGUUUAACUGGGGCGGUUGCCUCCUAAAAUGUAACGGAGGCGCUCAAAGGUUCCCUCAGCCUGGUUGGCAAUCAGGUAUCGAGUGUAAGUGCACAAGGGAGCUUGACUGUGAGACUGACGGGUCGAGCAGGGACGAAAGUCGGAACUAGUGAUCCGGCGCUGGCAAGUGGAAGCGGCGUCGCUCAACGGAUAAAAGGUACCCCGGGGAUAACAGGCUGAUCUUGCCCAAGAGUCCAUAUCGACGGCAUGGUUUGGCACCUCGAUGUCGGCUCGUCGCAUCCUGGGGCUGGAGUAGGUCCCAAGGGUUGGGCUGUUCGCCCAUUAAAGCGGCACGCGAGCUGGGUUUAGAACGUCGUGAGACAGUUCGGUCCCUAUCCGCCGCGCGCGUAAGAGUCUUAAGAAGAUCUGUCCCUAGUACGAGAGGACCGGGAUGGACGAACCUCUGGUGUGUCAGUUGUCCUGCCAAGGGCACUGCUGAUUAGCUACGUUCGGAAGAGAUAACCGCUGAAAGCAUCUAAGCGGGAAACUCGCUUCAAGAUGAGGGCUCUCACAGGGUUAACCUGGUAAGGCCCCCAGUAGACCACUGGGUUGAUAGGCCGGAAGUGGAAGUGCGGUAACGCAUGCAGCUGACCGGUACUAAUAGGCCGAGGACUUGAUC
rnacentral:rRNA from 1 species